UACGAAGGGGGCUAGCGUUGCUCGGAAUCACUGGGCGUAAAGCGCACGUAGGCGGCUUCUUAAGUCAGGGGUGAAAUCCUGGAGCUCAACUCCAGAACUGCCUUUGAUACUGAGAAGCUUGAGUCCGGGAGAGGUGAGUGGAACUGCGAGUGUAGAGGUGAAAUUCGUAGAUAUUCGCAAGAACACCAGUGGCGAAGGCGGCUCACUGGCCCGGUACUGACGCUGAGGAGCGAAAGCGUGGGGAGCGAACAGG
rnacentral:rRNA from 1 species